GUUGCCUGGUUACCAUUUUCGAGACGACGCCAUACUUUUAUAUCACGCUAUACAGAAAUAUGCAUCUAAAUAUGUUGCUUUAUAUUACGAUACACCAGAGAAAAUAAAUGGUGAUUGGGAAUUACAGAAUUGGGGUAAAGAAUUAGCUUUAUCUAGAGAACAAGGUGGUGUAGGACUACUGGGAAUACCAAAUGACGGAACAUUUAAAACAAUAGAUGAUAUAAUAAAAGUAUUAACAUGUAUUGUAUAUACCUGUAGUGUUUCACAUGCGUCAACUAAUUUCCCUCAAUAUGAAGAAUACGCCUUUACUCCAAAUUAUCCUGGUAUGAUGCGAGGAAAACCACCAAACUCAAAGGACCCCGUAGAAGAAUGCCGGAUCUUGGCCAGUCUACCGGAUAAACCAACAACCCUAGAUAUUAUGGUCGUUACUAAAAUAUUAAGUGGUCGAGGUACCAAAAGUCUCGGUGAUUUUGAAGUUCAGUAUGUUUUUGAUCCGAAAGCCACGGGGAUCGUUGAUGAAUUUCGUUUGGAAUUACGACAAAUCAGUAAAACGAUCAAGGAAAGAAACCAAUCCAGAAACCCACCAUAUAUUUAUCUUGAUCCAGAGAUCGUCCCGAAUUCUAUUAGCAUUUAAAACUUAUCAUCUUCACAAACCAUUAUUUAAUAUAAUCAUCUUCAUUAACCAGCAUCAUUCUAAUUAAUUUAUUUACGAACUACAUGUAUAUUCAUUUAUAAUUCAUCUGCUCUAACC